GAUGAACGCUAGCGGGAGGCUUAACACAUGCAAGUCGAGGGGCAGCAUAGGGUAGCAAUACUCUGAUGGCGACCGGCAAACGGGUGAGUAACGCGUAUGCAACCUACCCUGUACAGGGGGAUAACCCGGAGAAAUUCGGACUAAUAUCCCGUAAUAAUAUCCGGAGGCAUCUUUGGAUAUUUAAAGUUCCGACGGUACGGGAUGGGCAUGCGUAACAUUAACUGGUUGGUAAGGUAACGGCUUACCAAGGCUAUGAUGUUUAGGGGUCCUGAGAGGGUGGUCCCCCACACUGGUACUGAGACACGGACCAGACUCCUACGGGAGGCAGCAGUGAGGAAUAUUGGUCAAUGGGCGCAAGCCUGAACCAGCCAUCCCGCGUGCAGGAAGACGGCCCUAUGGGCUGUAAACUGCUUUUCCAGGGAGAGAAACUUACGCACGUGUUGCGUGACUGACGGUACCUGGGAAUAAGCAUCGGCUAACUCGUGCCAGCAGCCGCGGUAAUCACGAG
rnacentral:rRNA from 1 species